GACAUGUGGGGCAAGCGUUGUUCGGAUUCACUGGGCUUAAAGGGCGCGUAGGCGGGCGGUCAAGUCGGGGGUGAAAUCUUUCAGCUUAACUGGAAAAGUGCCUCCGAUACUGAUCGCCUCGAGGGAGGUAGGGGCAUGUGGAACUUCCGGUGGAGCGGUGAAAUGCGUAGAUAUCGGAAGGAACGCCGGUGGCGAAAGCGACGUGCUGGACCUCUUCUGACGCUGAGGCGCGAAAGCUAGGGGAGCAAACGGG
rnacentral:rRNA from 1 species